rnacentral:rRNA from 1 species
UACGUAGGGACCAAGCGUUGUUCGGAUUUACUGGGCGUAAAGGGCGCGUAGGCGGCGUGUUAAGUCACUUGUGAAAUCUCUGAGCUUAACUCAGAACGGUCAAGUGAUACUGAUGUGCUAGAGUGCAGAAGGGGCAACCGGAAUUCUUGGUGUAGCGGUGAAAUGCGUAGAUAUCAAGAGGAACACCUGAGGUGAAGACGGGUUGCUGGGCUGACACUGACGCUGAGACGCGAAAGCGUGGGGAGCAAACAGG